CGUUGGUGAUGAGGCCUCCCGCUGAAGGAGUACAUGAUGCGGCCCUACCCAAGACGGACACUCCAUGACGACGACAGCAAGGCCCACGAGCGCCGCGUCUUCAAUUACAGAAUGACCAGGGCACGCCGCGUCAUUGAGAAUACCUUGGUAUCCUGGCACAAAGGUGGAGGAUGCUGCGACGACCCAUUAAGGCGAAAGAAGGCAACAUAAGGCAUACAUUGGAGCGUGCAUAGUGUUGCACAACUUUCUUCUUAAAGAGUCCGCAGCAUCCUCCGCCGCCUAUUGCCCACCUGGUGCCACAGACAGCGAGGACUGGGAAGGCCGCCUUUCACCUGGAAGUUGGAGGGACGAGGAAGCAGUCGGUGGAGCGCUCUUGCCACCGAGACCUACUGGCUGCAAUGCUGCGAGGUAUGCGAAGCAAGUGCGAGACAAACUGGCGCACCACUUCGUCACAGACGGUCAAGUUCCCUGGCAAGACAAAGUGGUGAACAGAGCUUGAAGUAUACAAGUUCAAGGGGUCCACAACGGUCUCCUCAGUCGUGUCCUCGGAGGUUUCGGGAUCCACUGCAUGACUUGGCCCUGGCGUUGAACUGCAGUGAUGACAACUCUUUUCCAUGUAUUUGACAACGCUAGUGGUACAUGCACUGUUAGCAUUCUUUGCAUCAGGUGUGUGUUACAUGCAGCUGCAAACACGAGUGCACUCAAGGGGUUAUUACCAUUACACCAAGUCUUUUGCAUUACUUCUUUUCAUAACAUGACUGUAUGAAUGAUGUGCAGAAGCACAAGUUCAAUGUUUUUAUUAUGUUGGUCAUCAUACACUAUGUAUGGACCUAAAUGUGAACAUCUGCAACAGAGAUCUCACUGGCUGCAUGCAUCAAAUUUAUGCAGUCAUUCUGAAAUGGCUGUAUAAAUGUUGGGUCUGAUCAAAAACUGUGUGUGGUGUCAGUUGCGCUUCUUGAAUACAUGCUGCGUGUCUUAGUGAGCAUCAUUUCACUGGUACAAAUGCAUUAAUGCUUAAGAUUAUUUGCCUCGCUUGUAAUGCAACCAACUCUGGGGCCUGCAUUGGUUUAUAACUGGACACUUGUUAAAAUGACCUGCAUGUGUUUCCUAUGUGUGCAGAAAAUGCAUGGUUCACUUGAGAAAACGCGUGUUGGGGCUAGUUGCUGAUGCUUAUUUUUCUUUUUCAAAAAUAUCUAGCGUUGACCAAUAACCAGAUUCACACAAAAGCAGCACCUGUCCCGUCAUGUCUUCCUGUGUACUUCUGUGCAAUGUUUAGCGCUGGAUUUUUUUUUGAAAAUUCAGUGGCUGGGGCGAGCUAACAGAUUGCAAAACACCUUUAAACCAUGCUUAUGUUUGUGAUAAUUUUACACUAUAAAACCACCACAAAAUGGAAAGUCACACUUAGAAGUCCAAGGCCAUGCGUGCCUAACUGCCACGACAGGUGCAUGCUCAUUGUGCCAUAAAUUUUGUACAUGCUCACCUCUCGUUACCUUCAUCUGCAGUGAUGUGUCUGCUGCAAGGAAAGAUGCACUGCGUAAGUCUCUCAGUGCUUGUGCAUACAUUUUCGAAUACUUUUUACUGUUUUGCUUCAAUGUAAGUGCACUUAUGCUGCAUUCUUUGUAAUGUAUAUGUGCAAUGCCUUGCUAUGAACUGGCCUCAUGGACACAUUGAAGGUAAGCCUGCCAUCUCCUCUCCAGCUUUUUAGAUUUUGCACUAAGCUUUCCCUCAUUGGGUUACUAAGACCUAUGGCAAGUACAGAAAUACAUGCAGUGCUCUCUUUCUUCAGCAGUCGCACGCGUAAGCCCUAUUUUGUGAAGUUGUCCACAUGCCACUUGUACGUUGUGCUAUGUUUUUGCGUUAUUUUCAUGCAUUGUGUAUUUUGCGUUAUUUUCAUGCAUUGUGUUGCGGAAAUUGAAACAUGCAAUCCUCUUUUCAAUGAAGGGUGAGCUUUGUUCAUUACCUUUGGUCAGUCUCACUCAUGUUGCACAGUACCCUGAAAGAAUGAUGCACAGAGUUAACACUUUGCUGCUGUACCCCCAAUUGUUCUGCAUCAAAAUACUAUGUUGUCGCCACAUUCAUGAUCACAUGCAUGUCCACUGUGAAUGAGUUCUUGCGACCAGUGUAUUUAUGUGCAUUUAUGUAUAUGUGUGUGUGUAUUUGUGUAUUCAUUCCAGUCACAUGAAAAGGUACAUUUAGCCUUACAGUACUUGAUUGUCAAGAAACAUUGAAACUUACACCACAGGCUCAGACUCAACUUCAGUGAGUUCGAGCAUGGCUUCAAAAUGGGGCCAUUUUAUGGUAGGAAUGUCGGCUGCUCCGGCUC
rnacentral:lncRNA from 1 species